rnacentral:lncRNA from 1 species
CUUUUCUUUUUUUUUUUUUUUUAAUUUGUUGUAGAGACAGGGUCUUGGUUUUUUGCCCAGGCUGGCCUAGAACUCCUGGGCUCAAGUGAUCUUCCUGCCUCAGGCUCCCAAAAUGCUGGGAUUACAAGCAUGAGCCACCACAUCCAGCCUCACCUUUCCUUAAAUGAGGUCUUUCUGCUGUUUAAAAUUGUAUUUCACUUCAUUUUGUGAAAUGAAGAAAACGCAAAUGCAAAUUGCAAAUGAGUGCUGGGGCUGCAGUCAGCAAAGGCAGACUCGGCAAAUAGCUUCAACUGCUUUUCCAAAGGGCCUUUCUACACCCUCCUGACUGAGCAGACCUGGGAAGGGCGAUCCCACAUGCACGGGUGCAGCAGGGCAGCCAGCAGGACAGAGGAGGCCAGAACAGCCCAUGUGCCCACGCUCAGACGGCAUCAAGAAGACGGGCCACAGUGCUGAGUGUGUGAGUGACAACCAGCAUAGCCAAAGCACCAGGCAGGAGCUGCCCGCUAGGGAAGAAGGAGCUUGGCCCAGAGUACACAGUGGCUGCACGUGUGAUGUCCCUAUUGGGCUUCUUGGCUCACACGGGAGGUGAAACAGCCCACCCCAUAAACCACCCUCUGAGGCCGGACACAGUGGCUCACACCUGUAAUCCCAGCACUUUGGGAGGCCGACGAGGGAGGAUCACCUGAGGUCAGCAGUUCGAGACCAGCCUGGCCAACAUGGUGAAACCCUGUCUUUACUAAAAAUACAAAUAUUAGCUGGGUGUGGUGGCAUGUGCCUGUAAUCCCAGCUACUUGGGAGGCUGAGGCAGAAGAAUUGCCUGAACCCAGGAGGCGGAGGUUACAGUGAGCAGAGAUUGCGCCACUGCACUCCAGCCUGGGCAACAAAGCAAGACGCCGUCUCAGAUAAAUAAAUAAACAAACUACCCUCUGAGGGUACCAAUCUACUGCCUGGGGCUCAUGGGCAACCCCUCCGUGGCUGGGCACUUGGGACUGCAAAGAGCAAUUGUUUUGCUUUUUUUUUUUUUUUUUUUUUAGUAGAGACGGGGUUUCACCGUGUUUUGCUUUCUAAAGUGUUUUGAAAAAAUCAAAAUAAAAAAAUACAUGCCGAAUGUGACCCCACUCAUCUUAGUCUUUCCCGUGGGAAUCAUCCCGCACGCGCGUCGUCACAGCCCGAGGCUCCAUCACUCCUUCGCCACACGU